AUCAUUCUUUCUGGAUUUUUUGACCUUCCAUAUGAAAUUCUUUCAACAUAAUCAGAGGCUGCAGAUUUGGAAAAUAGGGUUUGGAAAAUACACGAAGGCGGCGGAUUUUGUAGAACGAGAUUGUUGUUGGGAAUUUUUGCGUGGCGAUUUCUCCGAUGACGGUGGAAUCUUCGCCGCCCGAUGAGGAGAUUUAAUCCAAGAAGAGUGAGGAGAAAAUCAAGUGGUACCCGGUGUGGCUGAUGUACGAUCUGGAUAAAAGGAGGCCACACGCGAUUGGCUCACUUGAAGGAAUGGAGAAUCGAUCUGCAGGGUAGGCUACAAGAUGUGUACCACGGUUGGUCAUUUGGUGGCUCUGGCGACUACAAAUUCAAUAAUUCUAGGUGGGAGUAGGAGCAAGAGCAGGUGCUGUAUGCUUAGGAUAGAGCGUUGCUAAAUGCGAUUGGUAAUUUGGAGCUCAAUGGUGAAAAUGCAGAGGCUUUGCAAAAGCUUGGUCAUACUUUGGAAGUUGUAGCUAUUUAGGUUAGCAUGUGGAAUGAAUACUUUGACCUGUAGUUUGAUGUGAUUAUUGCAACUUGUCUUUUUUUUUUUUUAACAUUUUGAUUAUUUUCUAUUCUUGAAAGUGUGAGCACAUCUUAAAGUUCAGGUAAUAGUUUUGAUUCUAACUGUUUGUUCAUUAAAAAUAUAUAAUCAGUUCAUCAAGUUUGCGAAAUUCUUGUGUAGGGAAAUGAUCAAAAUGAUGAAGUGUGUGGUCAACCGAUGGGUGAUGAUGAUGUUACUCAUUCAGAUAAGAUCCACAUAUGCUAUUUUGAAAAACGAGGAGUUGUUCAAUAGAUUUGUGAUUUUGUUCCUAAAAAAUUAUUUUACUAACUUAUUUCUUUUUUAAAUCAUUAAUGUUCAAAACAUUGUAUCAUAAGUUCAAAACAAUGUACCGUAUGUUCAAAACAUCAAAUGGGACGGAAAUCAAUUUGGUUGUGACAUUGAAAAGGAAGCGUCGGUGCAUUACAACGAUGUUUACAUAAAUUAGGGUGAUCGAGCACUGAUCAGAAACAUUGUUCACGGGAAAGUGACCGAGAAGUCAGACUUAUUUGUUUAUUAGUAGUUUUUUUUUUUAAGAAUUGUCAUUUAUUUUUAUAAUAAACAAGUUAAUUGAUUGCUAUUUUUUCAAGUAUAUAUUGUUUUUGUUAUAAUGAAUUGGAAUUUGGUAUUAUUGUCAA